rnacentral:rRNA from 1 species
GAUGAACGCUGGCGGCGUGCCUAAUACAUGCAAGUCGAGCGAACGGACGAGAAGCUUGCUUCUCUGAUGUUAGCGGCGGACGGGUGAGUAACACGUGGAUAACCUACCUAUAAGACUGGGAUAACUUCGGGAAACCGGAGCUAAUACCGGAUGAUAUUUUGAACCGCAUGGUUCAAAAGUGAAAGACGGUCUUGCUGUCGCUUAUAGAUGGAUCCGCGCUGCAUUAGCUAGUUGGUAAGGUAACGGCUUACCAAGGCAACGAUGCAUAGCCGACCUGAGAGGGUGAUCGGCCACACUGGAACUGAGACACGGUCCAGACUCCUACGGGAGGCAGCAGUAGGGAAUCUUCCGCAAUGGGCGAAAGCCUGACGGAGCAACGCCACGUGAGUGAUGAAGGUCUUCGGAUCGUAAAACUCUGUUAUUAGGGAAGAACAUAUGUGUAAGUAACUGUGCACAUCUUGACGGUACCUAAUCAGAAAGCCACGGCUAACUACGUG